rnacentral:ribozyme from 14 species
GGCCUUCGGGAAAGUCGGCGAGAUGGGCCGAAUCGACGAGGACGACUUGGGCGAGAUGGACGAGGGCGACCUGGACGCGUUGGAGGCGGAGGAGCUCCACGCCGCGCUCGACCCGCGGGCUGCCCAGCGAUUGGCCGCCGCCCGCAAGCACGAAGAGGAGGAGAGGCUCUGGGGCCGCGA